UACAGAGGUCCCGAGCGUUGUUCGGAUUCACUGGGCGUAAAGGGUGCGUAGGUGGUGACGUAAGUCGGAUGUGAAAUCUCGGAGCUCAACUCCGAAACGGCAUUGGAAACUGCGUUGCUAGAGGGUUGGAGGGGGGACUGGAAUGCUUGGUGUAGCAGUGAAAUGCGUAGAUAUCAAGCGGAACACCAGUGGCGAAGGCGAGUCCCUGGACAACACCUGACACUGAGGCACGAAAGCUAGGGGAGCAAACAGG
rnacentral:rRNA from 1 species